GAUGAACGCUGGCGGCGUGCUUAACACAUGCAAGUCGAACGGGAAAUCUUUCAUUGAGCCUUCGGUGGAUUUGAUUUAUUUCUAGUGGCGGACGGGUGAGUAACGCGUGGGUAACCUGCCUUAUACAGGGGGAUAACCGUCAGAAAUGGCUGCUAAUACCGCAUAAGCGCACAGAGCUGCAUGGCUCAGUGUGAAAAACUCCGGUGGUAUAAGCUGGACCCGCGUUGGAUUAGCUAGUUGGUGGGGUAACGGCCCACCAAGGCGACGAUCCAUAGCCGGCGUGAGAGGGUGAACGGCCACAUUGGGACUGAGACACGGCCCAGACUCCUACGGGAGGCAGGAGUGGGGAAUAUUGCACAAUGGGGGAAACCCUGAUGCAGCGACGCCGCGUGAAGGAAGAAGUAUCUCGGUAUGUAAACUUCUAUCAGCAGGGAAGAUAGUGACGGUACCUGACUAAGAAGCCCCGGCUAACUACGUG
rnacentral:rRNA from 1 species